ensembl:lincRNA Gm43740 predicted gene 43740
AUUUUACACCUGCACAUUCACAGAAGAGACAAAUUCCACACAAAAUAGAGACACACACAGAGACAGAAGAAAACCAACUGACACUCAGCAUCUUGAAAAGGAAGGAAACAAAUAUUCCAGCUAGCAGUGCAGAACUCUGCUUGAUCUCUUGCCAGAAAAUAGAAGUCAGUUUAACUUAUGUUGCUGAUGACUAGAAAGUCCAAGAUGGAGGAAGUACACCUGAACGACCAUUUGUGCUGUACUAUGACAUGGUAGAAAGCAUCAUAUGGAAUUGGUGUAUAUUGCAACCUAGCCAACAUUUGAAGGUGUCUUGUCCUCAUCUCAUGUGCCCCCUAGCAACGAUAUUAUCAACAAGAACUUCAUUUUCUUUAUAACCAAUAUGCUCAAGUCCAGAGACAUGAUCUGAAGAAAUUCUGAAGCAGCAGUGCUUUCUAAUGACUUCUAGGCAAUUCCAUUAUUUGCAUUGGUCAUUUUGUAGCCACUGCUGUCACAUCUUCCUGCUGAGUGUUUGCUUAAUCCAAGUGAAGAUACCUUUGGAGAGGGAAGCACGGACUUCAUUAUGGAUCAGUGAUACAUUGAGUCUGCAGGGGAGAAAUGGAAAACAGAGGCUCCUUAAGUUAAAUCCAUGUGAACACCAAAAACCACAAAUAUAUUUGGAUAUGUGUCACAUCCACCUCAUCAAAUGCUGUGUAAUACAGAUGGAAGAUAUCACCCAGACAUCUAUAAUUUUAUCCAAAAAUGACACUAUAAAUGGAACUAGCGGCCCAGGAUACAGAUACAGUUAUGUAGCACCAACUCAUAGACAGAAAACUAAGGAUUUCCUUAACUAUCCCCAACAUAAAUAAUAAUAUCUUGGUGACUGUUACCUAAAUAAAAAAGUUACAGUAGAAAAUCAUUGUGUUUGGAGCUGUGACGAAAGGACGGACCAUCUAGAGACUGCCAUAUCCAGGGAUCCACCCCAUAAUCAGCUUCCAAAUGCUGACACCAUUGCAUACANNNNNNNNNNNNNNNNNNNNNNNNNNNNNNNNNNNNNNNNNNNNNNCCCGGAGCUCUUGACUCUAGCUGCAUAUGUAUCAAAAGAUGGCCUAGUCGGCCAUCACUGGGAAGAGAGGCCCAUUGGACACGCAAACUUUAUAUGCCCCAGUACAGAGGAACGCCAGGGCCAAAAAGUGGGAGUGGGUGGGUAGGGGAAAAUAGAUUAUCUUUUCAUACAGUAUAUCCUGAUUAUAGUUUCUUCUCCCUCUACUCCUCUCAGUACCUUGCCACCUUUCCUUCCCUCCAAAUAUAACCCCUUUCUGUCUUUUACUAGAAAAUAACAGGUUUCUAAGAGAUAACAACCAAACAUGACAAAAUAAAAUACAAUAUGAUGAAGCAAAAAUUGUUAUAUUGAAAUUGGGCAUGGCUACCCAACAUGAGGAGAAAAGUACCAAGAGUAGGUACAAGCAUCAGAGAAAUACUCGUUAUUAUCAUCAGGAGUACCAUAAAAAUACUAAUCUAAUAGCUAUAAUAUAUAUGCAGAGAAUCUGGUACAGUCACAUAUAGGCCUGUGCUUUCUGCUUCAAUCUCUGUGACCUCCUAUGUCCUUUGCUUAGUUGAUCUAAGUGGCAUUGCAGAAAAGCUUCGUUUGACAGUGGGAAACAGUCAAACUAGGGAAUCAUAACUUACUAAGGUUCUGAAAAUGAGUUAUUGUUAAGUGCUUGGCUCCAAAAGAUACAUGUAUGACAUAUCCCCUGCAACCCAUGGAACAUAGCAGAAGAGAGGAUGGAUGGAUGGACAGUGAGAAUCAAAGGACAUAUUGAGAUGUCAUCUGGAUAUGACAUGUCUAUUGUAUCCAAGAACACACAACCACUGCAACUGCCUGAAUCAGCCCUGAACCAAAAAAUACUGUGGUGAGGGGUAUAUAAGAGUAAGAGGGUUAUUAUGGGAAAAUGAAGGGGGUUGGCAGGAAUGGGAAGAGGAGAGGAGAAGGUAAUUGAGUAUUAGUGUUAUCAAAUCACAUUUUUUUUACUUUUCUUUUUUAUUAGAUAUUUUCUUUAUUUACAUUUCAAAUGUUAUUCCCUUUCUUAGUUUCCCCUCAGAAAACCCCCUAUCACUUCCCCCCUCCACCUGCUCACCAACCCACCCACUCCAGCUUCCUGGCCCUGGCAUUCACCUAUACUGGGGAACAUUCACAGGAUGAAGGGCCGCUCUUUCCAUUGAUGACUGACUAGUCCAUUCUCUGCUACAUAUACAGCUAGAGCCAUGAGUCCCACCAUGUGUUUUCUUUGGUUGAUGGUUUAGUCCCAGGGAGGUCUGGGGGUACUGGUUAGUUCAUAUUGUUGUUCCUCCUAUGGGAAUGCAAACUCCUUCAGCUCUUUGAGUGCUUUUCCUAGCUCCUUCAUUAGGGACCCAGUGCUCUGUCCAAUGAAUGGCUGUGAGCAUCCACUUCUGUAUUUCUCAGGCACUGGCAGAGCCUCUCAGGAGACAGCUAUAUCAGGUUCUUGUUACCAAGCUCUUGUUGUCAUCCACAAUAGUGCCUGGGUUUGAUGGUUGUAUAUAGGAUGGAUACAGAGGUAUGGCAGUCUCUGGAUGAUCAUUCCUACAGUUUCUGCUCCACAUUUUGACUUUGUAACUCCUUCCAUGGGUGUUUUGUUCCCCCUUCUAAGAAGGAUCAAAGUGUCCAUACUUUGGUCUUCCUUCUUCUCGAGUUUCAUGUGUUUUAUGAAUUGUAUCUUGGGUAUUCCAAGCUUCUGGGCUAAUUUCCAUUUAUCAGUGAGUGCAUAUCAUGUGUGUUCUUUUGUGAUUGGGCUACCUCACUCAGGAUAAUAUCCUCCAGAUCCAUCCAUUUGCUAAGAAUUUCAUAAAUUAAUUGUUUUUAAUAGCUGAGUCGCACUCCAUUGUGUAAAUGUACUACAUUUUCUGUAUCCAUUCCUCUGUUGAGGGACAUCUGGGUUCUUUCCAGCUCCUGGCUAUUAUAAAUACAGAGGUAAAUAAAGUAUUCUCAACUGAGAAAUACUGAAUGGCUGAGAAGCACCUAAAGAAAUGUUAAACAUCCUUAGUCAUCAGGGAAAUGCAAUUCAAAACAACCCUGAGGUUCUACCUCACACCAGUCAGAAUAGCUAAGAUAAAAAACUCAGGUGACAGCAGAUGAUGGCUAGAAUGUAGAGAAAGAGGAACAUUCCUCCAUUGAUGGUGGGAUUGCAAGCUGGUACAACCACUCUGGAAAUCAGUUUGGCAGUUCCUCAGAAAAUUGGACAUAGUACUACCAGAGGAUCCAGAAAUACCACUCCUGGGCAUAUAACCAGAAGAUGCUCCAACAUGUAACAAGGACACAUGCUCCACUAUGUUCAAAUCACAUUUAAAGCAAGUAUGUAUGAUACUGUCAAAAUAUAUAUUAAUAUACGUUUUAGUCUGAAGGUGAGGAGAAAAAGCAACAUUCAGGGAAGAAAAGCGAACACCAUUGACAAUGAAUAUGGAUUUCUCUGAGAGUUGUGGAAAUGAGACAUAUCCUAAUGUGAAUAUGGGAUCUCUAGGGGAGAGUUGCAACUGUUCUAAUAUUAGUAACAUUCUCAAUUUUGGCAGUUCUCAUUACAUCCCAAAACACUACUAAGAAACUUGUGGGGUUUUUUCUUCUUCUUUCUCCAUUUGACAGGUUUGGUGACUCUGGUGGAGGUCCCUUGGAUAGAACUAUAAUGUGAUAAAGUAAAAACAGAAGCCACUGGAGUUGCACAAGAGCUUUGGUACAUGUCAAUUUCCUGUAAAUGAAGGUUCUGAUUAUAGUCCUAUUAAAUUGCAGGGCUUAAAAUGGGAAAGGGAGAAAAGCCUUAAGCAGUUUUCGAUUGUGCAAACAGAGUUCUUGUCUUUCUGCUGGCAUGAGGUUUCAAUUGGAUCCUAGGGUGAGGCAAUUUUCCCUGUUCUCACCUUUUGCCCAGUUUUUCUUGCUAUUCUAUCCUUUCUCUAUAGAAAAAAGAAAAAAAAAGUUCAAACCAAAAAUUACUCCCCCAAACAAACAAACAAACAAACAAACAAACAAAACACUGUAUAUGCAGAAAGACAGGCACCUAAGCUAAUUCAAUUAACAGAGGACUUCCCCCAGCCCAAGAAAGAACACAUGUCUCUAGUAAGCUGCUUGUUCACAGAGGUGAAAAAGGAGUAUUUCGAGAAAAGUCAAUCUCUUUAAUAAAUUGUUCUCUUGCCCUACAAAAAGUUAAACUUAAAAGAGAUCAGAUAUCUUAACGAAAGAUUCAAAAUUUGGAACUACUAGAAGAAAAAUAGAACUACUGAAGGAUAUUAAUAUAGGGGAAAAUUAGUCUAUAGGAAUCCAAAAACCCAUCAAACAAGGCACUGGACAAAUGGGACUACAUCAAGUUAAAAGGUUUGAACAGAAAAGGAAAAAAUAGCUAACAGACUUGGACAGACUAUUUGUCAACCAUUAGUGGAAGAUGAAUAACUAGUAUAUGUAAGUAACUAAAAAUCUUAACAUUGAAACAAUAAUGCACAGAAAAAUAGUCAAAUGUGUUCAACACACAUUUCUAAAGAAACAGGCAGAGAGUACAGGAAACAAAAACUUUCAAAAUAUUAUUAAUCAUCAAAGAAAUGCAAGAGGAAACUGAAUGGAAAUUCAUUCUAUUUUCAGUCAGAAUGGCAAAUAAGAAAUAGAAAAAAGACAAUCC